rnacentral:tRNA from 1 species
GCCGAUGUGGUGGAAUUGGUAGACACGCUAUCUUGAGGGGGUAGUGGCGCAAGCUGUGCCGGUUCAAAUCCGGCCAUCGGCA